UAGGGAAUCUUCCGCAAUGGGCGAAAGCCUGACGGAGCAACGCCNCGUGAGUGAUGAAGGUCUUCGGAUCGUAAAACUCUGUUAUUAGGGAAGAACAUAUGUGUAAGUAACUGUGCACAUCUUGACGGUACCUAAUCAGAAAGCCACGGCUAACUACGUGCCAGCAGCCGCGGUAAUACGUAGGUGGCAAGCGUUAUCCGGAAUUAUUGGGCGUAAAGCGCGCGUAGGCGGUUUUUUAAGUCUGAUGUGAAAGCCCACGGUUCAACCGUGGAGGGUCAUUGGAAACUGGAAAACUUGAGUGCAGAAGAGGAAAGGGGAAUUCCAUGUGUAGGGGUGAAAUGCGCAGAGAUAUGGAGGACACCAGUGNGAAGNNACUUUCUGGUCUGUAACUGAGGCUGAUGUGCGANGNNGGNGAUCAAACAGGAUAGAUACNUGGUAGUCCACGCGUAACGAUGAGUGCUAAGUGUUAGGGGNUUUCCGCCCCUAUAGUGGCUGGCAGGCUAACGCGCAUUUAGGCCACNCUCCGCGCCUGGGGGAGGUACGGACCGNAGGGUUGGAAAACCUCCAAAUGG
rnacentral:rRNA from 1 species